rnacentral:rRNA from 1 species
CCUACGGGGAGCAGCAGUGAGGAAUAUUGGUCAAUGGGCGUAAGCCUGAACCAGCCAAGUCGCGUGCGGGAUGAAGGUUCUAUGGAUCGUAAACCUCUUUUAUAAGGGAAUAAAGUGUGGGACGUGUCCUAUUUUGUAUGUACCUUAUGAAUAAGGAUCGGCUAACUCCGUGCCAGCAGCCGCGGUAAUACGGAGGAUCCGAGCGUUAUCCGGAUUUAUUGGGUUUAGAGGGUGCGUAGGCGGCCUUUUAAGUCAGCGGCGAAAGUCUGUGGCUCAACCAUAGAAUUGCCGUUGAAACUGGGGGGCUUGAGUAUGUUUGAGGCAGGCGGAAUGCGUGGUGUAGCGGUGAAAGGCUUAGAUAUCACGCAGAACCCCGAUUGCGAAGGCAGCCUGCCAAGCCAUGACUGACGCUGAUGCACGAAAGCGUGGGGAUCAAACAGGAUUAGAUACCCUUGUAGUC